rnacentral:rRNA from 1 species
CACGGGUGAGUAACACGUAUGCAAUCCACCUGUAACAGGGGGAGUAACCCGGAGAAAUCCGGACUAAUACCCCAUAAUAUGGGCGCUCCGCAUGGAGAGUCCAUUAAAGAGAGCAAUCUUGGUUACAGACGAGCAUGCGCUCCAUUAGCUAGUUGGCGGGGUAACGGCCCACCAAGGCGACGAUGGAUAGGGGUUCUGAGAGGAAGGUCCCCCACAUUGGAACUGAGACACGGUCCAA